rnacentral:tmRNA from 1 species
GGGGGCGAACGGUUUCGACGGGGGUAGGCCUCCUCGGGAAGCGAGCCGAGGUUGCCUGCCGUCCUCGUAAAAAAACGGCAGGGAAAAGAUAAGUGCCAACGAAUACGUUCCUCUCGCUGCCUAGUUAGUUAAGGCAGCCGUCCACCACAAGGGUUGGCUGGCCUCUUGUGGUUGGGCGUGACGUAGCCAGCCAGGUAGCCGGACUUUGCCUCACGGUCCGGGUUACCUUACCUAGUGAGGCUGGUCGCAACGGAGCCUGUCUGUGGGCGUCGUUGCGACGAGAAUCAAAACACAGACUGCGCUCGGAGAUGCCCGAGGGGACUUACUUUCGGACGCGGGUUCGAUUCCCGCCGCCUCCACCA